rnacentral:rRNA from 1 species
UCGCAAGACCUUGUCGCUGAUUGAGCGGCCGAUAUCAGAUUAGCUAGUUGGUGAGGUAAAGGCUCACCAACGGCGACGAUCUGUAGCGGGUCUGAGAGGAUGAUCCGCCACACUGGAACUGAGACACGGUCCAGACUCCUACGGGAGGCAGCAGUGGGGAAUUUUGGACAAUGGGCGCAAGCCUGAUCCAGCCCAUGCCGCGUGAGUGAAGAAGGCCUUCGGGUUGUAAAGCUCUUUCAGCCGGGAAGAAAACGCAUGGGUUAAUACCCUGUGUGGAUGACGGUACCGGAAUAAGAAGCACCGGCUAACUACGUG